ensembl:lincRNA predicted gene 5544
AGUAGCGUAAAAUUGACUUUCACAGAAAUGCUGUCAUUUGAUCUUCACUGGGGCCCUAUGGGCUGCUUUUUUCCUGUUUUAUAGAUAAAUUUUCUCAUCUAUUCUCAGAAUAGUUGCUCUCUGUUUGAGGGGGAAAAACGUUCAGGGAGAAGCGUUACAUGUCAAGAGGACCCGAGGGGAUAGCUCACAGCCAAGGCCCCAGGAAGACACAUGAGGAAUCAGGAAGAUGAAUCCUGAUCCAGAGAUGACUUACUGCCUCCUCCCAACCCUUCAAGGUGGCAGAAGGCUAUGGUACCAAGUCCAGGAGUCAACGUGCUGGAAUUCAUCUUGGGUCUCCUACUGAGGAAAUGGCUCUACAUAAGAAUAUGGGAGAGGAAAACCCAAAGUGGGCCCAUGAGAAACUCGAUAGUUAAGCUUCAGGCCUGUUGGGGAAUGAUGGACAGACCUUUCAGAGCUUCUGAAAGUUGGGGAUCACAUUUCCUAAAGAUCCAACAGGAAAUUGAUUCCAAACAGCAGAAAGAAGUACAGGGAAUCAAGGAAUUGGCCUGGUCUAGCUGUCUUGAGAGGUGUGGGUCGUGGAGUUUUCAGGUUAGGGUCUGUAGCUUCUGGGGCACUAUGUGCCUUUCAGUUCCUGAGAAACUGAGUCACUCCCUCAGGCAGUGAAACAUUCAUGCCAACUGUAUUCUCUGCAUUCCAAAGAAGUCGGUGAAGCAUAUAAGAGGGCUGGACAAUUAGUCUUAGACAUUAAUCUUGUGUGCCAUCAUUGUAUCCUGGCAGUUAUAAUUCUAUUCUUCUUGGCAGCUGCCAUUAUAUUCUGUAUCUGAUAAGGGUAUAAAAAGUCUGAUUGCUUGCAAUAUACUUGUCUCAACCUUAGGUUUUCAGAGACCCCUUC